rnacentral:lncRNA from 1 species
UCUGAGUCCACUGUGUCUCUUCCUCCAGGAGGCCCUCAUACUUCACUCCACUGAAGUGUCACCCCUUGGUGGCACUCUUUCCUAGCAGCUCUGACCCUUGUCAUCUGGGACAGGCAGUUCUGACAGAUGCUAUGUCACCUCUCUGGGAAGCCCCCUGACAACAGAAGCCGGGCCUUGAACCUUCAUUUGUCACUGCCCAGUGAAUAGGAUGUGGUAAGAAGUAUGUGCAUCCGCGGGUACCUGGUUACCUGGGUAACGUUCUCAGCCCUCAGACUCUCCUCCAGCCCCUAAGAUGUAUGAGGGAAAAAUGUGUGCAUUACAUCCUUUGCAGACAGGGGCUGUGCACGUGGCUGAUGCCCCAGCAGAAAUGACACCUGACUCAGUAAAGGCAACCCCCUUUCUUCUCUUCCUUAGCUCUCAAUGACUAAUUCCAAACUCUGUCAGUCCCCAGUGCUGAACUGGACCUGGAGACAAAGGGACCUCACAAAUAGCCUGUGCCCUAGACGGGCACUAUCAGAGAGGAGCCCAGUGCUUCCUCUAAUUCUCACAAGAGCUUCUCCAGUUGGCUAAUCUCAUUCUCUUUUGCCAGUGAGAAAAAAGGAUUACCAGGCGAGCCUACUAUGCAAGGCCAUGUGUCACAAAGUGACAGACAGGGCUCCUGUUUCCAUCAGAGCCUGCUUGCCCUGCCAUUUCCUCAGUGAGUCCCUCACAGUUUUUCCCUGUGAGUUUCGGGGGCUGCUUGCAGCUCCCCAAACUUGCACAUUUCCAGGCUACCCUGCCCCCUCCCUGCCUCCUCUCUUUCUGUUGUCUUAGGGACCCGGUAAUAUCGCCCAACACUUUACACAAGGAGCUUGGUACCCGGAACUUCACCUGGUUAAGUACGGCAGCUGGGAUCGUGGCUUUAAAAUCUCUCUGGUGGUCAGGAACUAUGGCAGAUACAGAGAAGAAAAGGAGAGGUGCCCUGAGCAUCCUGCCCACCCGUGGUCAAGAAAUAAGAGCGAUGCCCAUGCGAACCCAGCCUUGUGGUGGACAAGCAAAUGGUGUCACCAGGGGGCUCGUGGCAGGUGGCCCUGCACAUGCCUGACAGAGUCCUGCACGCUCCUCGGUGGGUAUCCAGGAGUCAAGGCUCAAGCUUGCUUCUAGAGCAUUCCUCUCUCGGUGCAAGAACAAAAGAGAUGCACGCCUUCAUUAGUUAGACUUCUGCGGAGUUCUAAAUCAAACCACAGCAUUCAAAUUUUAAAAGUUUGAUCAUCUGAGAAAUAAGGAUAUUAAAUAUGAUUAAAUAUGAUUGCAGUUGAGGGUGCAGGCUGCUCUUCCAUUACUUGCUUUGAUUAAAAAAAAAAAAAGCUAUCUGAGCUUCGAGGGUGAAAAGUUAAAUGCAGCAAGGAAGAAAAUAAAAGCCAGUGAGUCUGUAGCUGGUCUUACUUU